rnacentral:misc_RNA from 1 species
UUUCCUCUGCAGCAGCACCUUCUCCUUCCUCUGUAGUUUCCUUCUUAGCAACAGUCUUCUUCUUCCUACCAAUGUCAAUGCCAUAGUGCUGAAGAUACCAUUGCUUAAAUGGAGCUGCAUCUACUUGGACAAUUGCACUCUUCACCAGAGUUUGUGUCCUAACAAGCUCAUUGUUUGAGGCAUUGUAAACCACAUCAAGAAUACGAGUCUUCCGAGUGACAGCCUCACUACCCCAGGAAUAAUUUCC